rnacentral:rRNA from 1 species
AGCAGCCGCGGUAAUUCCAGCUCCAAUAACGUAUAUUAAAGUUGUUGCAGUUAAAAAGCUCGUAGUUGAAUUUCGGGGUUAAUAAGUUGGUCGUACCUAUGGUAUGUACUGGCUUUAUUGAUUCCUACCUCUUGACGAACUGUGAUGCCAUUAAUUUGGUGUUGCAAGGAAUCAGGACUGUUACCUUGAAAAAAUUAGAGUGUUUAAAGCAGGCUUACGCUUGAAUACAUUAGCAUGGAAUAAUGAAAUAGGACGUUUGAACCUAUUUUGUUGGUUUCUAGGAUCGACGUAAUGAUUAAUAGGGAUAGUUGGGGGCAUUAGUAUUCAAUUGUCAGAGGUGAAAUUCUUGGAUUUAUUGAAGACUAACUACUGCGAAAGCAUUUGCCAAGGAUGUUUUCAUUAAUCAAGAACGAAAGUUAGGGGAUCGAAGACGAUCAGGUACCGUCGUAGUCUUAACCAUAAACUAUGCCGACUAGGGAUCGGAUGAUGUUAAUUUUUAAUGACUCAUUUCGGCGCCUUA